UACAGAGGGUGCGAGCGUUAAUCGGAAUUACUGGGCGUAAAGCGUGCGUAGACGGUCAAGUAAGUCGGGUGUGAAAGCCCCGGGCUCAACCUGGGAAUUGCAUUCGAGACUGCGUGGCUAGGGUGCGGAAGAGGGAAGCGGAAUUUCCGGUGUAGCGGUGAAAUGCGUAGAUAUCAGGAGGAACACCGGUGGCGAAGGCGGCUAUCUGGACAGAGUCUGACGCUGAGGCGCGAAAGCUAGGGGAGCAAACAGG
rnacentral:rRNA from 1 species